rnacentral:rRNA from 1 species
GACGAACGCUGGCGGCGUGCUUAACACAUGCAAGUCGAGCGAUGAAGUUCCUUCGGGAAUGGAUUAGCGGCGGACGGGUGCGUAACACGUGGGUAACCUGCCUCAUAGAGGGGAAUAGCCUUUCGAAAGGAAGAUUAAUACCGCAUAAGAUUGUAGUAUCGCAUGAUACAACAAUUAAAGGAGGAAUCCGCUAUGAGAUGGACCCGCGUCGCAUUAGCUAGUUGGUGAGGUAACGGCUCGCCAAGGCGACGAUGCGUAGCCGACCGGGGAGGGUGAACGGCCACAUUGGGACUGAGACACGGCCCAGACUCCUACGAGAGGCAGCAGUGGGGAAUAUUGCACAAUGGGGGAAGCCCUGAUGCCGCACGGCCGCGUGAGUGAUAACGGUCUUCGGAUUGUAAAACUCCGUCUUCAGGGACGAUAAUGACGGUACCUGAGGAGGAAGCCACGGCUAACUACGUGCCAGCCGCCGCAGUAA